rnacentral:lncRNA from 1 species
UCCGGUUUGUGAGAACAGAAAGGAUGCGACCUCCAGAAAAAUGAACCUUCAGUGCACAAGGGAUUCCAGAGAAAAACUGUUCGCGCGCGCUCAUACAGGCGACGCCGUCGCCAUCACCAACAGUCUCGCGCUCGGACGCCCAUCGGAUACAGACGGAGGAGAGUGAGGCGCUGGACGAGCCUGUCUCUUGCCGUGCCGAAGACGCUGCGUCGGAAGACCGUCAGUUCCGGUUGGUGAAUCUGGCUGCUCUGACUCCGUCCAGCUGGCCGACGGGCGAGUGCCUACACAGCAGCUCGCUGGCGCUGCCGUUGCGCGCGCGCGUCCAGACGGCAGUCGGCCCGCGGGCCAGCCUCGCAGCAUCUGUAGUGGCCGUGCUGCGCGGAGGAAUGCAUCCGGGAGCUGCCGGAUGAGGCCGUCUGGAUCUGUUCGGACGGGCCGGCGGAGGAUGGUUUGGCGGCGGUGGCUCCCUGCUCCGCUUACCAGAUGGAGACGACUGGGUUAUACGGGUUCCGGUGGGCCGCUUCUGCUCCAGUGCGCGCGCGGAGCUCACCGCGCCCCCGCCCCGGUCCAAGCCGCUACCAGAUGGAGACGACUGGGACAUAUGGGUCCCGGCGGGCCGCUUCUGCUCCAGUGCGCGCGCGGAGCUCACGGCGCCCCCCGCCCCGGUCCGAGCUGCUACCAGGGAGAAGGCUGUUACACUUAUCAGCGCUGGUCGGGCCACUGGGGAUGAUCGGGGCAGCAUCUCCACCGGAUUGAAAGAAGGCCAACGUCCGAGUGCGCCCAGUGCAGUCAGCAGUGACAUCGAAUGUCCAACAGGCCGCUGCCUGGUCUGCGGCGAAGCAGCAGACAAUUAGGCGCACGUGUUGCUGGAGUAUCCGUGCUUUUACGGCCUCCGGCUCCGUGCGCGGUGAAACAUCGUCGGCGCGGCCCACGAUGUCGAACGCGACGACAUGGUGGCGAUCUUGGUCGCCGGCUACGAGGCCCACAAGAGCCUUGUUUUGGCUACGGCGGCAGCUAGUUUGGGGACACCACAACAGCUGACGGCGGCCGCGGCCCCAGAGAUGCGCACCUGCGGGCAGGGCGGCCGCUGAUCUACAUCUCAGCUGAUUAUACUGAACAGACGGAGGAGACUGAGGCGCUGGACAACGAGUCUGUCUCUGGCCGUACUGAAGACGCUGCGUCGGAAGACCGUCAGUUCUGGUUGGGAAUCUGGCUGCUCUGACUCCGUCCAGCUGGCCGACGAGUGCGUGCCAAGACAGCCGCCGCCGCCGCCGCGCGCGCGCGCCAAGACGGCCGUCUACCGGCGCCGAUGCCGCCACGCGCACGCUAGACGCCCGUCCACUGGUGCCACCGCCCCACGCGCGCGCACGGUCGGCAGCCGCCGCGUCUGCGUGCCCGCCCAGAAUAUGCGUUCUGCCGCCGUUGACUGCGGCUCGAGAUUCAUGUUCAAGGUUUAGGCAUAUACUCAUGUUAAUUGUCUACGUUCAUGAAGGUGCGUGGUGACAAAGAUGCCUCGUCUGUGGCAGCGGAUUUGCUUGUUCCGCCUCAACAUGUGCAAAGUUGUUAUGUAAACUGAUGCGCUCGGCAUUCGCCGUCCGCUCGCGCUGGUGGCGCGCGAACGAA